rnacentral:lncRNA from 1 species
AAAAUAAAUAAAUAAAUAAAUAAAUAAAUAAUAGGAUAAAAUAUCCUCACGUGGUUUCACACUUUCUCACUUUAGUACCCUAUAGUUUAAAAUAUAUCAAGUUAGCCUCUGUGUUUUCGCACUUUCUCACUUUAGUACCCUAUGGUUUAAAGUGUAUCAACUAUCAAGUUAGUAUCAUGUGGUUUUAUUUUCCUCUUUUUAUUGUCAAUUUUACUAAUUUUUUUCGUUAAAUCAGUGACAAAGUUAAAAUUAAAGGGCACUAAAGUGAAUAUUCGAUAAACCUAAAUAAGGUAUCUGAAGUUUUUUGUAUAUAACUUAACGAAAUAAUGGAGGAAAAAAAAAUUAGUGACAAAGUUAAAACUAAAGAGUAUUAAAGUAAAUAUUCGAUAAACCUGUGUAGGGUAUCUGAAGUUUUUUGUAUAUAAUUUAACGAAAUAUUAACAGGGGAGCCGACGAAAAGAACAAAAUGAAACCACAGGGUACUAAAUUGAUGCACUUUAAACCAGAGGGUACUAAAGUGAGAAAGUGUAAAACCACAUGGUACUAAAUUGAUACACUUUAAACCACAUGGUGCUAAAGUUAAAAAAGUGCGAAACCACAGAGGUGAUUUGAAGUUUUCUCUAAAUAAUAAUAUG